rnacentral:tRNA from 1 species
GCCUGGGAUUCAACCAGUAGAGUAAUUGAUUUGUAAUCAGAAAGUCCCGAGUUCGAAUCUUGGUGUGGGCA